UACGGGGGGGGCAAGCGUUGUUCGGAAUUACUGGGCGUAAAGGGCGCGUAGGCGGCCUUCUAAGUCAGACGUGAAAUCCCUCGGCUCAACCGAGGAACUGCGUCUGAUACUGGAAGGCUUGAAUCCGGGAGAGGGAUGUGGAAUUCCAGGUGUAGCGGUGAAAUGCGUAGAUAUCUGGAGGAACACCGGUGGCGAAGGCGGCAUCCUGGACCGGCAUUGACGCUGAUGAGCGAAAGCCAGGGGAGCAAACGGG
rnacentral:rRNA from 1 species